UACGUAGGGUGCGAGCGUUGUCCGGAAUCAUUGGGCGUAAAAGCGCGCGUAGGCGGCCCGAUAAGUCCGCUGUAAAAGUCAAACGGCUCAACUGUUGAAAGCCGGUGGAUACUGUCGGGCUAGAGUACGGAAGAGGCAAGUGGAAAUUCCUGGUGUAGCGGUGGAAUGCGCAGAUAUCAGGAGGAACACCCAUAGCGAAGGCAGCUUGCUGGGACGUUACUGACGCUAAGGCGCGAAAGCGUGGGGAGCGAACAGG
rnacentral:rRNA from 1 species